rnacentral:rRNA from 1 species
AUUGAACGCUGGCGGCAGGCCUAACACAUGCAAGUCGAACGAGUGGCGGACGGGUGAGUAAUGUUUGGGAAUCUACCUUAUGGAGGGGGAUAACUACUGGAAACUGUAGCUAAUACCGCGUACCAUAGGAUGAGCCCAAGUGGGAUUAGGUAGUUGGUGGGGUAAAGGCUCACCAAGCCGACGAUCCCUAGCUGGUCUGAGAGGAUGACCAGCCACACUGGAACUGAGACACGGCCCAGACUCCUACGGGAGGCAGCAGUGGGGAAUAUUGCGCAAUGGGGGCAAGCCUGAUGCAGCCAUGCCGCGUGUAUGAAGAAGGCCUUCGGGUUGUAAAGUACUUUCGGUGGGGAGGCGUUACCUGCAGAAGAAGCACCGGCUAACUCCGUGCCAGCAGCCGCGGUAAUAC